rnacentral:lncRNA from 1 species
UCUGCAGGGGUGCAAAAUAGCCCACGGUGGAGAACCACCACUCGCAAGUAUGAAUCGCUUCGUUCUUUUUUUGUAUUCUCUUCAUGGAAGCCCAGACCCUUCAAAUAUUCAGUAGCCCCCAAGAUGCCUGGAAUAGGUUCUGUGGAAGAGCAUCACCUCUGAGCCAGAUCGAUCUGGCCGCAGCUUCUCUGUAGCAGCAGCAAGGAGAGGAGCCUGGCCUAAGGCUGGAUAGCACAUGUUGGCCUGAGCAGAGGUCCAGAGAAGCUUUAGGAAGGAGCCCGGCAUCACACAGCUCAACCGCAGCAGAGAAAGGAUUCAAGUCCCCAUCUGACUCUAAAGCUCUUGUUCCUGCAACGUUAUUGUGCUGUGUGCUGAGAUGUGGCCACGUUGGCGCAAGUAAAAAGCGAUCGGGUAUUUGCUGCUCUGUGCCACAGUAUAGACUCACACUUAUUAAGUGUCUGGUUUGUUACUUGCUUUGUUGGGCUGUGUUGUUCUUUGUGUUCCUUCUUAAACGCAGGUGGCCCUGCCUUCCACCCCUUGUCAAUGUGAUGAGCUUGCGAAGUAAAUCCACUCGAGCCUCAGUUUCUACAUUCCUGAAAAGGGCUCACAGUGCCUUCUGAGUGGGGGUUAGGUCCGUGGUGAGGAUGCCUCAGUCCAGCACAUAGUAGAGGCUCAAUGCACAUUCACUCUGUUCUCACUCUUCCCCAACACACCAGUGUGUAAAUUGGAUGGGGGAGCCACAGAUAGGCCACGUACACCAAACUCAUGUGGGUUACAAUCCCACGUGUGUUGCAGAAGUGUGGAGAUGAUGUUCUGAGCCUUUCAGACAAAUGAGAGUAUCCUCACACUGGCCACACCCCCCCAGACCAGCUUUGGGCCUCCCCUCCUCACCAUCAUACAGCUUCACUUCAACCUUUGCUGUACGGAUAAAGUAGAUACUUGACUUCAGAUGAAGGCAGACUUCCUGUCCUCUGCACCUGUUUUCUUGCUCACCAAACCUUCAAGCAGUGAACAUCACCUUUAUUGACAAACUACACACACCUUUCAAAAAAUAAAUAGGUAUGAAACAGAAACUUGUUCA